CCCGGAGGAUACUCAGUGUUCUAGGUCAGAUCCAACACUUUGUAACAAUGCCUGAUAUAAAUACCAACCACCUCGAUAAGCAACAAGUCCAACUCUUGGCGGAGAUGUGUAUCCUUAUUGAUGAAUAUGACAAUAAAAUUGGAGCUGAGACCAAGAAGAAUUGUCACCUGAAUAAAAACACUGAGAAAAGAUUAUUGCAUCAGGCUUUUAGCGUCUUCUUAUUCAACAACGAAAAUAAGCUCCUGCUACAGCAAAUGUCGGAUGCAAAGAUUACCUUUCCAGAUUGUUUUACCAAUAAGUGUUGCAGUCACCCGGUAAGUAACCCAGGCGAGCUCCAGGAAAACGAUGCCCUCGGAGUGCAGCGAGCAGCACAGCGGCGUCUGCAUGCCGAGCUGGGAAUCCCCCCUGGAAGAGGUUCCUCCAGAAGAAAUUAAUUAUUUGCCACAAUUCACUACAAGACCCAGUCUAAUGGUGUCUGGGGAGAACAUGAAAUUGACUACAGCCCGCUUGUGAGGAAGAAUGUGACGUUGCACCCGUAUCCCAAUAAGAUGAAAAAUUAUUGCUAUGUCAAAGAAAUAACUAGAACAACUUUUGAGAAAAGCAGCCAAUGGUGAAAGUAAGAUAACAUUGUGGUUUAAACUUAUUGUUGAGACUUUUCUCUUUAAGUGGUGGGAUAACUAAAAUCAUUUGAGUCAGUUUGUUGACCAUGAGAAAAUACAUAGAAUGUGA